CUGUGCCUCACAUGGAAGAUCCCAAGCUUUUGACCCUCUAUAGCCACCACACUUCAUAAGCAAGCCUCACGGCACACAGACACUGAUUCUUAUCUAGCUGGCGGGGAGUUAACCUGGGGUGGAUAAAUGAACGCAUGUUUUAAGCUUUUACCUAUCGAUAUACUAAACUAACCGGUGUGACCAUUUGCUUUAGUUAAAGUAGC